GACGAACGCUGGCGGCGUGCCUAAUACAUGCAAGUUGAGCGAUGAAGAUUGGUGCUUGCACCAAUUUGAAGAGCAGCGAACGGGUGAGUAACGCGUGGGGAAUCUGCCUUUGAGCGGGGGACAACAUUUGGAAACGAAUGCUAAUACCGCAUAAUAACUUUAAACAUAAGUUUUAAGUUUGAAAGAUGCAAUUGCAUCACUCAAAGAUGAUCCCGCGUUGUAUUAACUAGUUGGUGAGGUAAAGGCUCACCAAGGCGAAGAUACAUAGCCGACCUGAGAGGGGGGUCGGCCACAUUGGGACUGAGACACGGCCCCAACUCCUUCGGGAAGCAGCAGUAGGGGAUCGUCGGCGAUGGACGAAAGUCUGACCGAGCAACGGCGCGGGGAUGGAGAAGGGUUUCGGAUCGUAAAACUCUGUUGGUAGAGGAGAAAGUUGGUGAGAAUGGAAAACUCAUCAAGUGACGGUAACUACACAGAAAGGGACGGCUAACUACGUG
rnacentral:rRNA from 1 species